rnacentral:rRNA from 1 species
UACGGGGGGGGCAAGCGUUGUUCGGAAUUACUGGGCGUAAAGGGCUCGUAGGCGGCCAACUAAGUCAGACGUGAAAUCCCUCGGCUUAACCGGGGAACUGCGUCUGAUACUGGAUGGCUUGAGUUUGGGAGAGGGAUGCGGAAUUCCAGGUGUAGCGGUGAAAUGCGUAGAUAUCGGGAGGAACAUCAGUGGCGAAGGCGGCUGCCUGGCCCAAUACUGACACUCAGGUGCGACAGCGUGGGGAGCAAACAGG